UAGGGAAUCUUCCGCAAUGGACGCAAGUCUGACGGAGCAACGCCGCGUGAGUGAAGAAGGAUUUCGGUUCGUAAAACUCUGUUGUUAGAGAAGAACAGCGCAUAGAGUAACUGUUAUGCGUGUGACGGUAUCUAACCAGAAAGCCACGGCUAACUACGUGCCAGCAGCCGCGGUAAUACGUAGGUGGCAAGCGUUGUCCGGAAUCAUUGGGCGUAAAGGGUACGUAGGCGGCCCAGUAAGUUAGAAGUGAAAUAAUAUAGCUCAACUAUAUAAAGCUUUUAAAACUGCUAGGCUUGAGAGAUGGAAGGGAAAGUGGAAAUCCUAGUGUAGCGGUGAAAUGUGCAGAUAUUAGGAAGAAUACCGGUGGCGAAGGCGACUUUCUGGUCAUCAUCUGACGCUGAGGUACGAAAGCGUGGGUAGCAAACAGG
rnacentral:rRNA from 1 species